GACGAACGCUGGCGGCGUGCUUAACACAUGCAAGUCGAACGGAAAGGCCCUGCUUUUGUGGGGUGCUCGAUUGGCGAACGGGUGAGUAACACGUGAGUAACCUGCCCUUGACUUUGGGAUAACUUCAGGAAACUGGGGCUAAUACCGGAUAGGAGCUCCUGCUGCAUGGUGGGGGUUGGAAAUUUUCGGCGGUUGGGGAUGGACUCGCGGCUUAUCAGCUUGUUGGUGGGGUAGUGGCUUACCAAGGCUUUGACGGGUAGCCGGCCUGAGAGGGUGACCGGCCACAUUGGGACUGAGAUACGGCCCAGACUCCUACGGGAGGCAGCAGUGGGGAAUAUUGCACAAUGGGCGGAAGCCUGAUGCAGCAACGCCGCGGGCGGGAUGACGGCCUUCGGGUUGUAAACCGCUUUCGCCUGUGACGAAGCGUGAGUGACGGUAAUGGGUAAAGAAGCACCGGCUAACUACGUG
rnacentral:rRNA from 1 species